UGAAUAACGUGUGCAUGAUGG
rnacentral:siRNA from 1 species